rnacentral:rRNA from 1 species
UUUCGCCUACGGGACGCAGCAGUGGGGAAUAUUGCACAAUGGGGGAAACCCUGAUGCAGCAACGCCGCGUGAGUGAAGAAGUAUUUCGGUAUGUAAAGCUCUAUCAGCAGGGAAGAAAAUGACGGUACCUGAGUAAGAAGCCCCGGCUAACUACGUGCCAGCAGCCGCGGUAAUACGUAGGGGGCAAGCGUUAUCCGGAUUUACUGGGUGUAAAGGGAGCGUAGACGGCGAUGCAAGUCUGAAGUGAAAGCCCGGGGCUCAGCCCCGGGACUGCUUUGGAAACUGUAUGGCUGGAGUGCUGGAGG